rnacentral:rRNA from 1 species
UACGGAGGAUGCGAGCGUUAUCCGGAUUUAUUGGGUUUAAAGGGUGCGCAGGCGGCACGGCAAGCCGGCGGUCAAAUCGCGGGGCUCAACCCCGCCUAGCCGUCGGAACUGCCGGGCUAGAGUGGGCGAGAAGUGCGCGGAAUGCGUGGUGUAGCGGUGAAAUGCAUAGAUAUCACGCAGAACUCCGAUUGCGAAGGCAGCGCACCGGCGCCCUACUGACGCUCAGGCAGGAAAGCGUGGGUAUCGAACAGG